rnacentral:rRNA from 1 species
AUUGAACGCUGGCGGCAGGCCUAACACAUGCAAGUCGAACGGCAGCACAGAAGAGCUUGCUCUUUGGGUGGCGAGUGGCGGACGGGUGAGUAAUGUCUGGGGAACUGCCCGAUGGAGGGGGAUAACUACUGGAAACGGUAGCUAAUACCGCAUAACGUCGCGAGACCAAAGUGGGGGACCUUCGGGCCUCACACCAUCGGAUGUGCCCAGAUGGGAUUAGCUAGUAGGUGGGGUAAUGGCUCACCUAGGCGACGAUCCCUAGCUGGUCUGAGAGGAUGACCAGCGACACUGGAACUGAGACACGGUCCAGACUCCUACGGGAGGCAGCAGUGGGGAAUAUUGCACAAUGGGCGCGAGCCUGAUGCAGCCAUGCCGCGUGUAUGAAGGAGGCCUUCGGGUCGUAAAGUACUUUCAGCGGGGAGGAAGGCGGUGAGGUUAAUAACCUCGCCGAUUGACGUUACCCGCAGAAGAAGCACCGGCUAACUCCGUGCCAGCCGCCGCAGUAA